AUAAAUGCAUAUACAUAUAUUGUCCAGUUAAUUUCAGUAAUCCUUCAGUUCACCUUCGCAAUUGACCGAGAACAUACCAAACACAAUUGUCAACGUUGAAAGAUGAAAAGGUUCAUCAAUUUCGGACUUCUUGUUAUUUUCUUCCUUUUAACGUCUGUUGUCCUGAUUACGAAUGGACGAACAAUGAUCAAAAUUCAGCCAAGAUGUCAAGUACCCCCUUUAUGCUACUGUGAUCCUUUGUGCGUCCCAUACAAUGGACUUGAAUGUGAAGUUUGUUAAUGAUGAAGUUGGUCGCAACGCGAUACAAUUAUUAAUUAUCAGUUAACUACAUAUCUAACAUUAAGAUCUAUGUACACAUGUGACAUGAGCAAAUAAUUAUUAAAUAUUCUACAGAUAACUCAUACAAAUGAAACUGCUAACAAACCUUCAAAAAAUUUAACAAAUAAAUUUAAUCUUCACUAUUUA